rnacentral:rRNA from 1 species
CCUACGUGAGGCAGCAGUAGGGAAUCUUCCACAAUGGGCGAAAGCCUGAUGGAGCAACGCCGCGUGGGUGAAGAAGGUCUUCGGAUCGUAAAACCCUGUUGUUAGAGAAGAAAGUGCGUGAGAGUAACUGUUCACGUUUCGACGGUAUCUAACCAGAAAGCCACGGCUAACUACGUGCCAGCAGCCGCGGUAAUACGUGGGUGGCAAGCGUUAUCCGGAUUUAUUGGGCGUAAAGGGAACGCAGGCGGUCUUUUAAGUCUGAUGUGAAAGCCUUCGGCUUAACCGGAGUAGUGCAUUGGAAACGGGGAGACUUGAGGGCAGAAGAGGAGAGUGGAACUCCAGGUGUAGCGGUGAAAUGCGUAGAUAUAUGGAAGAACACCAGUGGCGAAAGCGGCUCUCUGGUCUGUAACUGACGCUGAGGUUCGAAAGCGUGGGUAGCAAACAGGAUUAGAUACCCUUGUAGUC